ensembl:snoRNA
UCCUCUUACAAAGGCGCACUUGCAUUGGCCUGCUUGCCUGUGCGUAAGAACAGGAGGAAAAGCAAAAUGAAUGGUGAUCAUUUUAAUUCAUGUCUGACUGCAGCUGCAGGGAAAAACGUCACCAUUUAGACAAUGUUCACUUUCUCAUCG